rnacentral:rRNA from 1 species
CCUACGGGAGGCAGCAGUGAGGAAUAUUGGUCAAUGGACGCAAGUCUGAACCAGCCAUGCCGCGUGCAGGAAGACGGCCCUAUGAGUUGUAAACUGCUUUUGUACGAGGGUAAACUCAGAUACGCGUACCUUUCUGAAAGUACCGUAUGAAUAAGGAUCGGCUAACUCCGUGCCAGCAGCCGCGGUAAUACGGAGGAUUCAAGCGUUAUCCGGAUUUAUUGGGUUUAAAGGGUGCGUAGGUGGGCGGUUAAGUUAGUGGUGAAAUCCUGAGGCUCAACUGCGGAAUUGCCUCUGAUACUGUUAGGCUAGAGAGUAGUUGCGGUAGGCGGAAUGUGUGGUGUAGCGGUGAAAUGCUUAGAGAUCAUACAGAACACCGAUUGCGAAGGCAGCUUACCAAGCUGCUUCUGACGUUGAGGCACGAAAGCGUGGGGAGCAAACAGGAUUAGAUACCCUUGUAGUC